UGCCUAACCUGGCAGGAGUGACACUGUGAUCACGAAGGUGGUUCACCCAGGGUGAAAUGUGCCCAUUGCACUGACGGUCACAUUGACCCCUGCGAAUUCUCCAAAUGCGGGAAUCUCGACUGCGUAAUUUUUGAGAGUGGGGAACUGCGUCCGCGCUCUCCCUGA